UAAUAUCAGAACAUCAGACAUGUUAAUAUGUGUUGUAGUGGUUUAAUAAUAUCAGAACAUCGGACAUGUUAAUAUGUGUUGUAGUGGUUUAAUAAUAUCAGAACAUCAGACAUGUUAAUAUGUGUUGUAGUGGUUUAAUAAUAUCAGAAUAUCAGACAUGUUAAUAUGUGGAUGGGCAUUACUCUGGAUCAGAAGGUUGGGUUUUGGUUGGGGAGAUGGAUGGGCAUUACUCUGGAUCAGAAGGUUGGGUUUUGGUUGGGGAGGUUGAUGGGCAUUACUCUGGAUCAGAAGGUUGGGUUUUGGUUGGGGAGGUGGAUGGGCAUUACUCUGGAUCAGAAGGUUGGGUUUUGGUUGGGGAGGUGGAUGGGCAUUACUCUGGAUCAGAAGGUUGGGUUUUGGUUGGGGAGGUGGAUGGGCAUUACUCUGGAUCAGAAGGUUGGGUUUUGGUUGGGGAGGUUGAUGGGCAUUACUCUGGAUCAGAAGGUUGGGUUUUGGGUUGGGGAGAUGGAUGGGCAUUACUCUGGAUCAGAAGGUUGGGUUUUGGUUGGGGAGGUGGAUGGGCAUUACUCUGGAUCAGAAGGUUGGGUUUUGGUUGGGGAGGUGGAUGGGCAUUACUCUGGAUCAGAAGGUUGGGUUUUGUUGGGGAGGUGGAUGGGCAUUACUCUGGAUCAGAAGGUUGGGUUUUGGUUGGGGAGGUGGGAUGGGCAUUACUCUGGAUCAGAAGGUUGGGUUUUGGUUGGGGAGGUUGAUGGGCAUUACUCUGGAUCAGAAGGUUGGGUUUUGGUUGGGGAGGUUGAUGGGCAUUACUCUGGAUCAGAAGGUUGGGUUUUGGUUGGGGAGGUGGAUGGGCAUUACUCUGGAUCAGAAGGUUGGGUGUCUGAUCCCAGUAUUUUUU
rnacentral:lncRNA from 1 species